rnacentral:misc_RNA from 1 species
UGCCUUGAUUGUUCCGUUCGGACAGUCUGAGGAAAAUCCCGCCGAAAGGCGGGAUUUUUCGUUGGCUCCUUGUUUCCGGCCAGUUGUCCACAGGGCCGGGCCUGCCGUUAAGGUUAAGAAAGGGUUUAAAUUGCCGGUCGCCUUUGAGGGGCGUUAGCUCAGCCGAUCAUCAUCGCGGUGUCCAAAAGGGCGCUGCUUUGGCCGGGGCAUGAUCGAAGCGCCAGUUUGGAAGCGCCAU